UACGUAGGGUGCAAGCGUUAAUCGGAAUUACUGGGCGUAAAGCGCACGUAGGCGGCUUGGUAUGUCGGGUGUGAAAUCCCCGGGCUCAACCUGGGAACUGCAUCCGAAACUGCCUUGCUCGAGUAUGGGAGAGGGAAGUGGAAUUUCCGGUGUAGCGGUGAAAUGCGUAGAUAUCGGAAGGAACAUCAGUGGCGAAGGCGACUUCCUGGACCAAUACUGACGCUCAGGUGCGAAAGCGUGGGGAGCAAACAGGG
rnacentral:rRNA from 1 species